rnacentral:misc_RNA from 1 species
GGAGUAAAAGUCGUAACAAGGUUUCCGUAGGUGAACCUGCGGAAGGAUCAUUACAGAGUUCAUGCCCUCACGGGUAGAUCUCCCACCCUUGAAUAUUUAUACCUCAGUUGCUUUGGCAGGCCGUGGAAACACCAUGGGCUCCGGCUUAUGCGUGCCUGCCAGAGGAAACAAACUCUGUUUUUAGUGAUGUCUGAGUACUAUAUAAUAGUUAAAACUUUCAACAACGGAUCUCUUGGUUCUG